rnacentral:rRNA from 1 species
CGGCGAGCGAAAUUGGACUAGCCCUUAAGCUUUACACGCGUUAGACGAACGGUCUGGAAAGUCCGACGAUACAGGGUGAUAGUCCCGUAGUUGACGACGUGUGUUCAGUGAAAUCGAGUAGGGCGGGACACGUGAUAUCCUGUCUGAAUAUGGGGGGACCAUCCUCCAAGGCUAAAUACUACUGACUGACCGAUAGUGAACCAGUACCGUGAGGGAAAGGCGAAAAGAACCCCUGUGAGGGGAGUGAAAUAGAACCUGAAACCGUGUACGUACAAGCAGUAGGAGCAGGCUUGUCCUGUGACUGCGUACCUUUUGUAUAAUGGGUCAGCGACUUAUAUUCAGUGGCAAGGUUAACCAUCUAGGGGAGCCGUAGGGAAACCGAGUCUUAACUGGGCGUUCAGUCUCUGGAUAUAGACCCGAAACCAGGUGAUCUAGCCAUGGGCAGGUUGAAGGUUGAGUAACAUCAACUGGAGGACCGAACCGACUAAUGUUGAAAAAUUAGCGGAUGACUUGUGGCUAGGGGUGAAAGGCCAAUCAAACCUGGAGAUAGCUGGUUCUCCCCGAAAGCUAUUUAGGUAGCGCCUCGGACGAAUACUACUGGGGGUAGAGCACUGUUAAGGCUAGGGGGUCAUCCCGACUUACCAACCCUUUGCAAACUCCGAAUACCAGUAAGUACUAUCCGGGAGACACACGGCGGGUGCUAACGUCCGUCGUGGAGAGGGAAACAACCCAGACCGCCAGCUAAGGUCCCAAAUUACUACUAAGUGGGAAACGAUGUGGGAAGGCUCAGACAGCCAGGAUGUUGGCUUAGAAGCAGCCAUCAUUUAAAGAAAGCGUAAUAGCUCACUGGUCGAGUCGGCCUGCGCGGAAGAUGUAACGGGGCUAAGUAGUAAACCGAAGCUGCGGCAAUAUACUUUUGUAUAUUGGGUAGGGGAGCGUUCUGUAAGCGGUUGAAGGUGUGUGGUAACGCAUGCUGGACGUAUCAGAAGUGCGAAUGCUGACAUGAGUAACGAUAAAGGGGGUGAAAAACCUCCUCGCCGGAAGACCAAGGGUUCCUGUCCAACGUUAAUCGGGGCAGGGUAAGUCGACCCCUAAGGCGAGGCCGAAAGGCGUAGUCGAUGGGAAACGGGUUAAUAUUCCCGUACUUCUUACAAUUGCGAUGGGGGGACGGAGAAGGCUAGGUGGGCCUGGCGACGGUUGUCCAGGUUCAAGUGCGUAGGCUUAAGAGUUAGGUAAAUCCGGCUCUUUUUAAGGCUGAGACACGACGUCGAGCACCUACGGGUGUGAAGUCAUUGAUGCCAUGCUUCCAGGAAAAGCCUCUAAGCUUCAGAUUGUAAGGAAUCGUACCCCAAACCGACACAGGUGGUCGGGUAGAGAAUACCAAGGCGCUUGAGAGAACUCGGGUGAAGGAACUAGGCAAAAUGGUACCGUAACUUCGGGAGAAGGUACGCUCUUGAUGGUGAAGUCCCUUGCGGAUGGAGCUGACGAGAGUCGCAGAUACCAGGUGGCUGCAACUGUUUAUUAAAAACACAGCACUGUGCAAAAUCGUAAGAUGACGUAUACGGUGUGACGCCUGCCCGGUGCCGGAAGGUUAAUUGAUGGGGUUAGACUUCGGUCGAAGCUCUUGAUCGAAGCCCCGGUAAACGGCGGCCGUAACUAUAACGGUCCUAAGGUAGCGAAAUUCCUUGUCGGGUAAGUUCCGACCUGCACGAAUGGCGUAAUGAUGGCCACGCUGUCUCCACCCGAGACUCAGUGAAAUUGAAAUCGCUGUGAAGAUGCAGUGUACCCGCGGCUAGACGGAAAGACCCCGUGAACCUUUACUACAGCUUGGCACUGAACAUUGACCCUACAUGUGUAGGAUAGGUGGGAGGCUUUGAAGCACGUACGCCAGUAUGUGUGGAGCCGUCCUUGAAAUACCACCCUUGUAGUGUUGAUGUUCUAACGUCGACCCCUUAUCGGGGUUGCGGACAGUGCCUGGUGGGUAGUUUGACUGGGGCGGUCUCCUCCCAAAGAGUAACGGA